rnacentral:rRNA from 1 species
GCUCCAAUAGCGUAUAUUAAAGUUGUUGCAGUUAAAAAGCUCGUAGUUGGAUUUGUGGUUGUCGCUCGCGGCCUGGUACUUAGUGCCGGUGCUUGCAGGCGGCGCAUCCUUGGGUGGAACCUGUGUGGCAUUAGGUUGUCGUGCAGGGGAUGCCAUCGUUUACUGUGAAAAAAUUAGAGUGUUCAAAGCAGGCUUAUGCC